AAGAGAACCUUUGCCGGCUAGCAUUAUACCGGGGAAAGAAAAGCAUCUGCGUCGCCAUCCUCCCAAAACCCAAAUCGAACUCGCGGCGAUCUCUCGCCUUCCCAAACCAACAGACUCUGUACGGUCUUCUCGCUCUCGCGCCCCUCCCACAGUUUGUAGCGUGGCUAGCAGCAGCAGGGUGCCUCGCCGGCAGCUCUAAUCUUGGCACUGAGCUGUGCCUCCAACCUGUUUGAGUGAAUGCGCAGGUGGACGCGCUUGCUUUCUUCCACGCACUAGAUCUUGUGAAUUUUCCGUCUCCACCUGAUUUUGAGAUUCGCUGCUGACCAUGGCUGACGCCUCCGCCGGCGGCGGUUCCCUGGACGACUACCCAACCAUCGACCCAACCUCUUUCGACGUGGUCCUCUGCGGCACCGGCCUCCCGGAGUCCAUCCUCGCCGCUGCCUGCGCGGCCGCCGGGAAGACCGUCCUCCACGUCGACCCCGACGCCUUCUACGGCUCCUUCUACUCCUCCAUCCCGCUCCCUUCCGUCCCCUCCUUCCUCUCCGCCGACUCCUCCACCCCCUGCCCGUCCUCAACCACAGCGUCCUCCUCCGCCACCGCUGCAUACACCGCCGUCGAUCUCAAGCGCCGCAGUCUGUACUCGGAGGUUGAGACCUCGGGGACGGUUCCCGAACCGUCCAGGCGCUUCACGGUCGACCUGGUGGGUCCCAGGCUUCUGUACUGCGCCGACGAGGCCGUGGACCUUCUUCUGAGGUCAGGGGGAAGCCACCAUGUGGAGUUCAAGAGCGUGGAAGGGGGCAGCCUCAUCUACUGGGAUGGUGCGCUCUGCCCGGUGCCAGACUCUAGGCAGGCCAUCUUCAUGGACAGCACACAUCGGUCUAAGGAGAAGCUUAAUCUUAGGGAUAAUCUGAAGGAGAAGACCCUCUUGUUCAGAUUCUUCAAGCUUGUCCAGUCACACAUUGCCGCAUCGUCUCCUGGCGAUAAGGAUGGGGAGGGCGAAGCCUCUGGUAAGAUAUCCGAGGAGGACUUGGACCUCCCCUUCAUCGAAUUCCUCAAGAAACAGCAGCUUCAACCCAAGAUUAGAGCGGUUGUGCUAUAUGCAAUUGCCAUGGCAGAUUAUGAUCAAGAUGCUGCAGACUCAUGCGAGAAAUUGCUAACAACGAGAGAUGGAAUCAAGACGCUAGCUCUUUAUUCCUCGUCCAUUGGGAGGUUUGCUAAUGCCCAAGGUGCUUUCAUUUAUCCUAUGUAUGGGCAUGGCGAGCUACCGCAAGCUUUCUGUCGCUUUGCUGCUGUUAAGGGUGCCCUAUAUGUGUUGAGGAUGCCAGUCACAGCCCUUCUUGUGGACCAGGAAAAGAAGCGUUAUAUAGGCACCAGAUUGGCUUCUGGUCAGGAUAUUUUGUGCCAGCAGUUGAUACUAGGUCCCUCAUACAAAAUUCCUUCAUUGGACAUGCCAUCUGAUGCUUCAGACUCAAACUUGACGAGAAAAGUUGCCAGGGGAGUAUGCAUAAUCAGCAGCUCCAUAAAAGAGGCUUCAUCAAAUGUUCUGGUUGUUUUCCCCCCAAAAUCAUUACAAGAGCAGCAAGCUACAGCUGUUCGGGCGCUUCAGCUGAGCAGCAAUGUAGCAGUAUGCCCUCCUGGAAUGUUCAUGGUAUAUCUGUCUACUCCCUGUACCGAUGCCUUUACGGGAAAGCAGUACAUAAACAAGGCUAUGGAGGUUCUUUUCAGUACUCAGACUUCAGAUGAUUCAGAAGGCCAUUUGGAGACAACCAGCAAAAACAUCGAGGAUACAAAGCCAGUGCUAAUCUGGAGUUGUGUGUAUGUUCAAGAGAUCACACAGGGAACAUCUGGUACUGUAUUGUCAUGCCCCAUGCCUGAUGAAAACCUGGACUACAGAGAUAUACUGGAAUCAACAAAACAGUUAUUCACAGAUACUUAUCCUGAUGAAGAAUUCCUGCCUAGAAACGCAGCUCCUAAAUAUGCCGAUGAUGAAUCUGAUCUUGCAGAGUAGAAACAUGUUUGCAGAGGGUGCAUGCAUUAGCGAUGACAUGGACAGGGGCUUCACUGACAGGAAGAACUUGCUCAUGGACCGCAGGACCAUGGCUCCCAAGAUCGAUGACCUCAAGUCUCAGCCGUGCCUUUAGGGUUCCUCUCAAGAAUUACACACAAGAUUCUUACUCGAGGUACCGACCCUGAGGUCCUUCUUGGUGCCACAUGUGGUUGGUGGGCUGCAUUUUUUAAGUUGGUAUGAUGAACUGGACUUUGUAAAUGAGCACAUAUAUACACUGAAUCCUGGUAAAUGGCAGCUGAAUUUCAAGUACAGGGGACUCUUCUGCCCGAUCACAGUUUUCACACAUUAAUAACUGUAUGGCUCCAUCAGCGUGAAUUCAUUUUUCGGGGGGAAAUUUAAGUGCACAUAGCUGCAAAGAUGUGAAGAUCCAUAUCGGUCUUGUUUGAUAUUCUUUGAGUUGGUUUAGAUAGAGAGAAGUGACCUCUUUCAUGUCAAGUGCAUGUGCCAUUUACUACAGCCAAAGUGUAGACUGAUGUACGCUUAUAAUUUGUUCUUUUGCUUUUUCUUGGCUGCAUGCUUGCAUCCAAUUCAGAUUUUCCAUGUGCACUUCAGAACUAAUCAUGCCUGUACAGAUGAGAAAUUGAGCAAAUUUUUUAGUCUUUGAUAGAAACUGAACAAGUUUCUCAUGAGUUUUUUUAUAUACUUCAAGCCUACUGCUCAUCCAGCUCUAUGUGCAGUUUGGAGAUAUGCUUUAUUGAUCAUGCAACCUCCUUCUUUUCUCAUCCCUUUUAUAUUUUUAUUUCAAAUACUCUGUGUUAGCAAAAUCCUGUUGCAUGACUAGACCAACUAUCUGGUGAUUCAGGCACUACAUUAGUGAUUGGGGCAAUGGUCAGACCUGCUUGCAUGAAAAAAAGGGCAAUUUGGAUGUGCUUGCAGGAGCUCAGAACUCACCUAUUGAUGACUCACCUUGGAAACUGGUUUUUUAAAGGUCUUGGAGAUCACCUUUGGUAACAAACACUCAGGACUGCUCUAACUUAUUAUAUGAAAUAAUGUUCGGCCAUAGUAUAUUUUUUCUACACUUGAUGUUAGGCUGACAAGGCGACAGAUGCGGGGCCUUCUUCAAUUUCAAGUCACACAUGCCAUCGUCGUCCAGGUCAGUGGUGCCCCGUGCCCAUCGACGACAUCAUGCAGCUGUUCGCCAACGCCUGGAUGAAUCACUUCAAGACAUUAUUCCUUGACCAUAAUGUAGUGCCGCCCUGGACUAGCAGCUUGUCGCCUACACCUCAAUACAAUACCCAGAAGUGCAUCCGCGCCGGCAGCAAGCACAACGACCUCGACGCCAUGGGAAACAGUACUCCUUGAUGGGAACUAGACCUUCAGGUAUGAUGGGAGCUUCGAAGAGGAAGCCAGCGGAUAUUCAUGGGAGCUCCUCGUCAAAGUGAGGGAUUUAGUAUAGAAAGCUACUUUACAAGUAGUCUCAAGCUGGAGGAUAACAGAUUGGUCGCGACGUUAGGGAUCCCCAUCAAUGUUAUACUAUUUGUCUCCAGCAAUAUCAAGAUGAGGAUACAAGCAGAUCAAGUGUACAAGACGUGUAGUCUCCUCGUGAAGGUGGCUGAGCUAUGAAUUUGCUCUUGGUAUAUUUACCUAUGCUGGAUAUGGGGUCAGAUCUUUGGUAUGCAGGUGAAUGUAUAUGGAACAAUGAUUGCACAUAUUACAGUAAGCUAUAUUCUCUUCACAUUUAUGCAUAUUCUUGUUGGGACAAAAAAAGUGGUUAUAAUAAGCAGAUUCUUGUUGGGACCAAAAAAAGUGGUUAUAAUAAGCAGAUAUAUUUCUUCCCAUUUACGCAUAUUCUUACUGGGAGAGAAAAACAAAGCAGUGAUAAUAUGCAGUUUUACAUAAGCUUAUGUCUUGCAUAGAACCGAAAACUAAUGAUUAUUGCUUGUUUUCUGACUUCUGUUGCAGAAUGUGAAAGCUUAUUACCCACAUAAAACAAGUAGGUGUUACGAAGUCCUUGUAUGCCUAAUUAUUGUUGUUGUAGUUGUCAUACACGCGUAACAACCUGUGACAUACACACGCAUACCCGUGAUCUCUCUCCUACAAAUAUCCUUGACUAAUUCCUCAGAAGUAUAUGUAAAAACAGAAACAAAUGCUUCAUGCCCGCUCACUUGGAAACAAAUGCUUCGAUGGCCAAUGCGCAACUAAUUGCAUGCACACUUACAAAAUAUUUCUAACAACCAAUCAGGACAUUUCACUUACGAGGAUCAGUCAAAAAGUUAGCACGUACUAGAAAGAGACCCGACCGUGAUUUGUGUACUAUAAAGGAACGGAGGGAGGGAGUAAUGUCUUAUUUGGUAGUGAAAUAAAGCAAAUAAGUCAGGAAAAAAUAGGUGAUGUGAGAAAACUAGGUAGAGAAUAGAUUUGUGUGGAAAAUUAAUCUGCAACAAUUAUUAUGGUCAUCCCAAACAAAUUGAGGGAAGAUUUUUCCCUUUAAUAAUUAUUAUGCGACCACCUUCCUAACCAAGCUUCGAUUGUCCUGUUGGUACAUACAUGAAGAACAUUGUCUAUAGAGCGAUACUGACAUCAUAGGUGAGAAAUUUGGCACUUCGGUGAUGCGAAGACUUGAGGAAGAAGGUAAUGUUAUUGAGCUUACAAGUUACAUUUUUUUGUGUGUAACAUAGUUCUUUUAUAGUAAAAUUGGAUCUCUCUAUUGGGUAUGGCUUUCUACAUGGCAUUCAGUGUAACCUGCCAAAUCUCUCCCCUAUGAUUUUUUUAAAGUAUAGCACCCAAAUGAUUCACCCAUGACAUGUUCUUGAAAUUGAUUUGCACUGCUGAUUAUUCAAAACACGAGUGUUAGAUUUUGUAGUCUGAAAAUAUGAUAAUGAUGCCGAGAGAAGAGAGCAUGCGUACGAUCCAUGAACUUGAUGUGCGAGAUGGUAUGACUUCUUCAGAGAACCAUCUUGAUCCUUCCUUUUUCUUCAUAAUAUUGCCAACCAUUGAGAUUGUGGUGCGGGAGGUCGCGGGUGCUAAAGAUUGUGGCACAGUUUAGAGGGUUGGCCGGCGGCGGAGGCGGCGACUCAGGUUGGGGGCGACAAGCAAAAUAUUUCAAAAGCCCGUGGCAACGCACGGGCUUUCUACUAGUAUAUAUUGCAUUGCUAUGCGAAAGGUAGCAUUGAAGCAGGGACACAUUGUGUCGCUUGUUUUGAAGUUCAAAGAAA